rnacentral:tRNA from 1 species
GCGCUCGUAGCUCAGCUGGAUCAGAGUACAACCCUCCGAAGGUUGGGGUCGCACGUUCGAAUCGUGCCGGGCGCGCCA